rnacentral:lncRNA from 1 species
CCACAACGUAACUAUACACGGCCGACAAUCUUGUAAUCCUAACAAAUAAAUAAGAAUUGAUGUCAAAAUCAAAUAAAAUACCACAACAACUACAAACUAGAUGAACUAUGCUUAAAUGCUAGCAAAACAAUUCCCACACAACAAAUGGCAAUCCCAAAGCAAUUAUUCACACUGCUUGAAACGCAGAACUCAUACGCGAAACCCUAAAAUUCUCAAUCUAACCACACCAUUGCUCUAAAUCAAUUCUCAUCAAACCCAAUUGGUUCGUAGCGCCAUAAUUCACCAUUUCCAUAAAAUCCCAAAGUUCAAGACCCCAAAAAUCAA